rnacentral:rRNA from 1 species
AGUGAACGCUGGCGGUAGGCCUAACACAUGCAAGUCGAACGGCAGCACAGUAAUAGCUUGCUCUUACGGGUGGCGAGUGGCGGACGGGUGAGGAAUACAUCGGAAUCUACUUUUUCGUGGGGGAUAACGUAGGGAAACUUACGCUAAUACCGCAUACGACCUACGGGUGAAAGCAGGGGAUCUUCGGACCUUGCGCGAUUGAAUGAGCCGAUGUCGGAUUAGCUAGUUGGCGGGGUAAAGGCCCACCAAGGCGACGAUCCGUAGCUGGUCUGAGAGGAGGAUCAGCCACACUGGAACUGAGACACGGUCCAGACUCCUACGGGAGGCAGCAGUGGGGAAUAUUGGACAAUGGGCGCAAGCCUGAUCCAGCCAUACCGCGUGGGUGAAGAAGGCCUUCGGGUUGUAAAGCCCUUUUGUUGGGAAAGAAAAGCAGCAGGUUAAUACCCCGCUGUUCUGACGGUACCCAAAGAAUAAGCACCGGCUAACUUCGUG